rnacentral:rRNA from 1 species
GCCUGAGCCACAUCUCCCUGCAGUUCCCUGGUGUCCCACUGAAGCUCAGCAAGGUUGAGCCUGGUCAGUACCUGGAUGGGAGACCUCCUCGGAAAACUAAGGUUGCUGCUGGAA